rnacentral:lncRNA from 1 species
AUCUGAAAUAUCAAAUAGUCAGACCAAGCUAGUGAACAAGAAGGUUCCCCCAUGAACAAUUUAGAAAAUGGAGGUAAUUGGAUGAUACGCACAAAAGAGAGAAUUAUCAUUUUGAUGUUCUCCCUAAUCCUACACACACAUACACACACACACACACACACACCCCACAAAAAAUACCCACACAUCCUAUGGAUAUACUUCCCUUUUCAUUAUUUGAUAAAGGACUAUCAAAAUCCUAAUAAUCAUAAAAGUAAUAAUAAUAAUCCCCAGCCUUCACUAAUCCUUUAAUGUAAGUAAAUGCUACAAGCUUAUUAUAAAAUACAGUCUAAAAUAUUCACAAUAAUAAAUUCAUAAUGAUGUCAUGUCAGCAUUCUGUGGUGCUGUGUGAAGAAAUAAAGAAAAAUAUUCAGGCAAUAAAAUAACCUCAACCUUAGUUAAGCAAACACAGUCUGUUCAGAUACACAUACUUAUUUGACAUACUCAUUAUUUGAAUUAGGCACCCAUAUAAUUUUCCAGUUUCAUAGGUUCCCUAAUUAUAAUUGAACAUAGUAAACUAGAUGUAAAAAAAAUUAAGAACUAAGUAGAUAAGAAUCAUCACUUUUAAUGAUAUUAAUCAUAAAAGUCAAUAUGUUCCCGGCCCAGAAAUAAUCAGAAUGAAAGAAAAAUCAAGCACCAUUUGUCCUCAUUAUUGUUUUUCAUUACUUCAUGAGAUUAUAGGGGUGUGUGUAUGUGUGUGUGUGUGUAUCUUCAUGGGAAAAUACUAUGUAAUUUUGAAUAGAAUAUAUUUGCUAAAGAACUAAACUAGAAACUGAAUGGUUAUGCAUUUACAACAGUAAUUGUUCCAACAGUUACCAAGGAUACUGAAAACUCAGGUUGUUUAUUCAUUGUACUUAGAUGUAUAAUCUUUAUGUGUAAAUUAGGAGCAUACUUCUCAAACAGAUAAGAAAAACAAAGUGAAAUAUUUUCUUUUUAGCAAACAUGACACUG